CGCGUAGGUGGAUAUGUGUGUUGGAUGUGAAAGCCCCGGGCUUAACCUGGGAACUGCAUACAAAACUGCAUAUCUAGAGUAGAGCAGAGGUGAGUGGAAUUUCCGGAGUAGCGGUGAAAUGCGUAGAUACCGGAAGGAACACCAGUGGCGAAGGCGACUCACUGGGCUCAAACUGACACUGAGGCGCGAAAGCGUGGGGAGCAAACAGGAUUAGAUACCCUGGUAGUCCACGCUGUAAACGAUGAAUACUAGCUGUUGGUGGCGAUAAGUUAUCAGUAGCGCAGCAAACGCGAUAAGUAUUCCGCCUGGGGAGUACGGCCGCAAGGCUAAA
rnacentral:rRNA from 1 species